rnacentral:rRNA from 1 species
UACAGAGACCUCAAGCGUUAUCCGGAAUCAUUGGGCGUAAAGCGUACCGAUCGGUGGUUUUACAAGUCAGAGGUGAAAUCCCAAGGCUCAACCGUGGAACUGCUCGGUAUACUGGUUGUCUUGAGCCACUUAGGGGCUACCGGAACAAAUGGUGGAGCGGUGAAAUGCGUAGAUAUCAUUUGGAACGCCAAUGGUGAAAACAGGUAGCUGGGAGUGUGCUGACGCUGAGACACGAAAGCCAGGGGAGCGAACGGG